CAUGUAUAACACCUAUAUUAUAAAUUGGGCGGUCAAUUUUGGGAGUGCAGUCCAUAAUUCAGAACAGAGACCAAGAUUUGCAGUUCCGAGUCAUGAAGGGGGGCUAGCGACCUCACCAACCAUUCCAAUCAUUAAUAUAAAUGAGUGCUAAAAAACCCUUCUGCUAUGAACUUGAAGAAGAAGCCUAUGCGGUGCCGUUGAGUCCAAAGUUAA